CUGUUGAUGUGAGACAUAAUUGUUCCUAGCAGCACCAUUCUGAUCCCAAGAGAAUGUUGGGUUUCUAAGACACUCCAUUUGGAAGUUUUCUUCUUGGUACAUAAUGGCCUGCUGGGCAAAGAACUGCCCUUGCCUUGCCUGCUGACAGUAUGAAUGCUAUCCUUUCUGAAUGAGCAGGACACAAGGAAAAGUGACUAUUGAACUCUGCCAAGACAGGGUAUAUAUGGAGAUGAACUGACUAAAUCUGCCAGAACCUGGAGGGGAUCACAGGAAACAAGAGGCUGUGGAUUCAAUCCAGAAUACAGAUCAAGUCUGAUCAAGAGAGACCUCCUGAACCUUGACAGGCAAAAAGGAAGAAAUAUUGAAGAACAUUAUUUUAAGAUUUAAGAAUAUUACACCAGGUUGGUUACAACUUCUGUGUACAUGACCAAUCCAAGAUCCCCCUCUUCCCUCUUCCCCCCCCCCCAGCCUCCCCAUCCCAAUUCACCCGUAAUUACAUCCUACAAGAAGGACUUCUGUGGAAUGGAAUAAAUCUUUUGCUGACUACCUCAUGGCCAAAGACCAUGGUUGACUGCAGAUAGCUGAAAUCACAGACACACUGAAUGGGAGGGGAUUACUUUAUCGAAGAAUCAGGCUCUGGGAAACUUUGCCAUUUGCUCAAAAAGGAAAAAAGAACACUGAAAAUUUGUCAGCCAAUAAUGAAAAAUAUUUUGCUUCACAACCAACAGCAGGAAAAUCAUAAGCACUGUAAGAAAGGGAACAUGGUGACCUGAUAGAAUCCUCUGUAUAAUGAUGUAUACAGAGCACCCACACCACUACCAGCAGCCCUUCAUCUAUGCUAUCCUCAGGCACCAGAGCUGGUAAGCAGAUGCAUACACAACUGGAUCUUCAGGGGAAUGGAGCUACAGACCACAUACAGAUGCAGAAGCUGGAGAAGAUAUGAUUGUUGGACAAAGAGGCAGGCUAUAAAAUUAGAGUUCAGCUUCAGGGGUAUGGUGAGGUGAAAUGUAGGACCAGAUCUAGUAGAAUUAAUUGGCAGAUUUAUAUGAAUGGACAGUACAUACAGAUGGCCAAAGAAGAAGAUGGAAGACAAUUGAAAUAGAUGAAGUCAACAACAGAGUAUAAGCCAAGCUGAAGUUCAUGGUAUAGUUAGGUGUUCUCUGCCUAUCAACCCCUUGAUGGGAGGUCAGAUGAAGAAUCAGUGGAGGUAUCACCAUCAUAGUAGUAGGUGUCUACCUCUCUAUGUAAUGAUGAGGGAGUUUUACCUUUUCCUCACUCUGGUAUGUCUGUUAAGUUCUUGGGCCUAGAUCCCAGGUAUUCUUUCAAUAUAUCCAUGUGCUUCCACAAUACCAAUUUACUCUGGUAAAUUUGCAGGAUGGCAUCCUUUGUACUUCCAGGAAUAAGUCAUUUAUCAGUCUGGGCCAUGUGAAUUGUGCGCGACAGAUGUUUCCUUUCAUAUGUACAUCAAAGUGCCUUGUCAUCUUCCAUCUUCAAAAACGAAGUCUCUCUAAGGGCAAAUACAGUCUGAAAAACAGUUAUUACAGUAUGGAGUAAUUUAUAGCCAAGAACAUCCAAAUCUCAGAACUACAGUAUUUCCUGAUAGUUCUCUGAACUGUCCUGUCAGAUUCAGCUCCAUCUCAUAGUUACUUCCCACCUCAUUCUUUGAUUUGACUGUAAUUGCCUGCCCUACUUUUUCAUUUCCUAGUCACUUAAAUUCAUACUACUACUCCAAGAAACAUUUAAACAUUUUUGCAGACAUAGCCAAAUAACAUCCUAACAAUAUUCAAAUGUCUACAAUAUUAUAUUUGGCCAAAAACACCCCUUUCCUGCCCAGUGUUUGGUAAAACACAUGAGAAAAGUAACUAAUAUUGGAAGGAAGGAUGCCAUUCAUGUUGGCAGAGAUGGCAUGGUGGCAGGCAACUCUAUAGCAGCAGGAGAAUGUCUAGGCCUCGUCACCUUACACAUGCACAAAACAGGAAACCAGAACUAGGGACAGACACUACACAUCAAGGACUGCCUCCAGUGACUCAUCUUCUUCAGCAAUGUUCCACCUCUGAAAUGUUCCACAGCUUCCCAAAACAGUAGCACCAGCUGGGGACCAAGCAUUCAAAUAUGUGUGUCUGUGGGGAUAUUUCACAUUCAAACCAUAAUGGGAAGGAAAUUUUUAUUUGGUUUACCUAUGGUCACUUGACCCCAAAAACUUGUACAGAACAUCCCGGUGCUAUGCAUAUGGGGCAGGGAAUGGAUGUUCCCCUCAUGAUAGCCAGAAAGCAGAGAAAUGACAAAUAUAGGUAGAAGUCGUCAUUGCCCAUGAAAGCAGGCCCCGACCACUUACUUCCCUCUGUCUUUUACCAGCUUCAUCAUAUUAGAAAUUUCUCAAGGAAUUAAUCUAUUCAUUGGGAAAGCACUCAUGAUCACAGAUAUAUCCAGAGGUACAUUUUGCUAAUAAUGUAGAGGUUUUCUAAUCCAAUC